UUCUGCAACUCACCCUCCUUUGCUCCGUUCACGUUUCAGCACCGUGAGAAGCGUCCCUGCACCGUGAGCUUUCCAUCAAACCGAUUGGUUUUGGAUUCUGAAACGGUUUGAGGAGUUUUGGGGUUUUAAACGUUAAGGGUAGAGGAGUAUACUGGAAUCUGUUUUCUCUCUCUCUGAAGAACGAACGCACGUUGCUUAAUCCGGAUGGUGAGGCGUUACUUGAAGAAACGCUGGAAGAAGAAAAUUUGGAGGACGCCAACCUCGUCGAAGCUGAAGUGAAGGCCGAACAGUGAACGUUCGGUUCUAGUUAGUGUAUUUAGAGUAGCGAGCGGCUGUGAGCGAGCG